rnacentral:rRNA from 1 species
UACGAAGGGGGCUAGCGUUGCUCGGAAUCACUGGGCGUAAAGCGCACGUAGGCGGGUCGUUAAGUCGGGGGUGAAAUCCCGGGGCUCAACCCCGGAACUGCCUUUGAUACUGGUAGUCUCGAGUCCGGAAGAGGUGAGUGGAAUUCCGAGUGUAGAGGUGAAAUUCGUAGAUAUUCGGAGGAACACCAGUGGCGAAGGCGGCUCACUGGUCCGGUACUGACGCUGAGGUGCGAAAGCGUGGGGAGCAAACAGG